rnacentral:rRNA from 2 species
UUUGCUUCGCGACGCGCCGGUAAGACUUCCACAAUGGACGAAAGUCUGAUGGAGCAACGCCGCGUGAGUGAUGAAGGUUUUCGGAUCGUAAAACUCUGUUGUUAAAGAAGAACAAGUGUUAGAGUAACUGUUAACACUUUGACGGUAUUUAACCAGAAAGCCACGGCUAACUACGUGCCAGCAGCCGCGGUAAUACGUAGGUGGCAAGCGUUGUCCGGAUUUAUUGGGCGUAAAGCGAGCGCAGGCGGUUUUGUAAGUCUGCUGUGAAAGCCCUCAGCUCAACUGAGGAAGUGCAGUGGAAACUACAAAACUUGAGUACAGAAGAGGAAAGUGGAACUCCAUGUGUAGCGGUGAAAUGCGUAGAUAUAUGGAAGAACACCAGUGGCGAAGGCGGCUUUCUGGUCUGUUACUGACGCUGAGGCUCGAAAGCAUGGGUAGCGAACAGGAUUAGAUACCCUGGUAGUCCAUGCCGUAAACGAUGAAUACUAGGUGUUGGAGGGUUUCCGCCCUUCAGUGCCGCAGCUAACGCAUUAAGUAUUCCGCCUGGGGAGUACGACCGCAAGGUUGAAACUCAAAGGAAUUGACGGGGGCCCGCACAAGUGGUGGAGCAUGUGGUUUAAUUCGAUGCUACGCGAAGAACCUUACCAGCUCUUGACAUCUUCUGCCAACCCAAGAGAUUGGGCGUUCCCUUCGGGGACAGAAUGACAGGUGGUGCAUGGUGUCGUCAGCUCGUCC